rnacentral:rRNA from 1 species
AGAGUUUGAUCCUGGCUCAGGAUGAACGCUGGCGGCGUGCUUAACACAUGCAAGUCGAACGAAGCAUUUAAGACGGAUUCUUUCGGGAUGAAGACUUUUAUGACUGAGUGGCGGACGGGUGAGUAACGCGUGGGUAACCUGCCUCACACAGGGGGAUAGCAGUUGGAAACGGCUGCUAAUACCGCAUAAGCGCACAGCAUCGCAUGAUGCAGUGUGAAAAACUCCGGUGGUAUAAGAUGGACCCGCGUUGGAUUAGCUAGUUGGUGAGGUAACGGCCCACCAAGGCGACGAUCCAUAGCCGACCUGAGAGGGUGACCGGCCACAUUGGGACUGAGACACGGCCCAA